GAACGGUAGCACAGAGAGCUUGCUCUUGGGUGACGAGUGGCGGACGGGUGAGUAAUGUCUGGGAAACUGCCCGAUGGAGGGGGAUAACUACUGGAAACGGUAGCUAAUACCGCAUAACGUCUUCGGACCAAAGUGGGGGACCUUCGGGCCUCACACCAUCGGAUGUGCCCAGAUGGGAUUAGCUAGUAGGUGGGGUAAUGGCUCACCUAGGCGACGAUCCCUAGCUGGUCUGAGAGGAUGACCAGCCACACUGGAACUGAGACACGGUCCAGACUCCUACGGGAGGCAGCAGUGGGGAAUAUUGCACAAUGGGCGCAAGCCUGAUGCAGCCAUGCCGCGUGUAUGAAGAAGGCCUUCGGGUUGUAAGUACUUCCAGCGGGGAGGAAGGCGAUGAGGUUAAUAACCUUAUCGAUUGACGUUACCCGCAGAAAAAGCACCGGCUUACUCCGUG
rnacentral:rRNA from 1 species